rnacentral:rRNA from 1 species
AUGGCACCGAUAAACCAAGGAAACACAAGGAGGGCCAGGUCCAUUGCUUUCCUUAUCCUCGUGAUGCUCUUUGCUUGUACCCUAUCAUCCCGCCACGCACGAGGUGGAGAGCCAUAUUGCAUAGGUCCGAUACUAGUAUGCUCUGAGCCUAGUUGCAUGGAAGAAUGCAACUUAAUAGACAAGGGUCUUCAUUCCUUCUAUUGCAACCACCUUGGACAAUGUUGUUGUUGGCCUCUAUAG